UCGACUAACCAACAGAGUGGUUGUCUUGCUCUCGAGAAGAGCACCGGGUUUAAUGUUGCUCGCGUCGACUGCAUGACACCCCAGCAUUUCAUUUGCGAAAGACAUGAUUCACAGUGAAAAACAAGUACUUUUUUUCUCGUUUAUUUGUUCGCUUGAUGUCAAAUUUUGUUAAAUAUUGAUACGAUAUUUGUUUGAAUAUGUCAUUGUUUUUGCAGUUAUGCUGCGUUAUGAUAGAUAUUUGUGCAAUACACAGUCGAUGCAAUGAUAUGAUUGACGUUGCUGCUUAACCAAUAUUAAACUAUAAAGGCCUU
rnacentral:misc_RNA from 1 species